rnacentral:rRNA from 1 species
GACGAACGCUGGCGGCGUGCCUAAUACAUGCAAGUAGAACGCCCAGUUUAUACCGUCGCUUGCUACACCAUAGCCUGUGAGUUGCGAACGGGUGAGUAACGCGUAGCUAACCUGCCUGGUAGCGGGGGAUAACUAUUCGUACCGUUAGCUAAUACCGCAUAAUAUUAAUUAUUGCAUGGUAAUUAAUUGCAUGGUGCAAUUGCACCACUACUAGCUGGACCUGCGGUGUAUUAGCUAGUAGGUGAGGUAACGGCCCAACUAGGCGGCGAUUCAUAGCCGACCUGGGGAGGAUGACGGCCACACUGGGACUGGGAAACGGCCCAAGCCCCCACGGGGAGGCGCAGGAGGGAAAUAUCGGAAAUGGAGGGAAGUCUGACUGAACAACGCCGCGGGAGGGAAGGAGGUCCUCGGGUUGUAAAGGUCCGUUUUAAGAGAAGAACGGGUGUGAGAGUGGAAAGUUCACGCUGUGACGGUAUCUUACGAGAAAGCGACGGCUAACUACGUG